UUCUUCUUCUUUCUCAUUUUUUCUUCUCUUCUUCUUAUUCUUAUCUUGUUCUUCAUCUCUGGUGAAUUCUUCCGAGUUUCUGAGGCUGUGAGGUCGAGAGAAUUAGGAAGGACAUCAGGGGUUUUUUUUUUGUGAUAGUAUCGUGGUUGUUUGAAUCUGAGAAGUAGAAGAUAUGUCGAUCUGUAGAGAAAUCAGAAAGUUAGGGUUUGUAAGAUAAAUCAAGGACGAUGAAAUUGAAGGUUUAGUGGAGUGAUUGGAGAUGGGUAUUACGUGUUGAGGGCAAGGAAUAAGGCUUAGCUACCGUUUCUCAGUUCUAAGGUGAAGAAUCAGUGAAUUAGGGUUUCAUAAGAAAGUUCAGAGGAGAUUAGAAGAUGAAAUUAAUGUUCUAGGAAGGAGAUAAAAGAUGGGUAUUGGAUGAUUUAGCAAUUCAGAGAAUACAAAUUGUUGGGUAAGCCUCUAAUUGUCUCAACUUAGUAUUUUGAUUUGAAUAUUUAUAAAUGAUUGAGAUUCUGCGAUUCUGUCUAAGUUUGAGAUGAACUACGAGAUGUUGAUGAAGGUGGUAUGAAACUGUGGUUGAGAUAACUAUAGAACGUAAUGGUGUGGAUGAGAAGAUGUUUUUGAAAUUGGUGUAACUGGAGUGGUGUUGGGAUAUGGUUUAUGGAACUGAUGAUGUAGAGUUGAUGUUGUUGGAAUUGCAGGUGGUGAAGAAGUACGAGGCUUAGAAGAUGUUAAUGAGAGUUAUAGCUAUAAUAUGGUGGAGUGUUGUGUAGUUGGUAAUACUGAAGUUGAGUUAAGUAAAGAAGUUUAUGCUAUUGUUUUGUGUUUGAUGAUUAAAGUUAAUUGAGAGAAAUUCAAGUAUUAGAUGAAUGCUUAGGAUGUUAUUCUGGUAAGAAUGAGUACUGCUGUGUGUUGGAAGCAUUGAACUGAGAUAUGAAUUGAGUUAGAGGUGAAUAAAAGUUGUUGCAGGUAGAGAUGUAAACUGUAAUGGGAACAAGUUGAGUUAAGGCAAUUGGUAUUAGUAAUGGUGAAGCUGAUAUGAAGUUGUUACUGUUAUGACUACUACUGUGUCUGAGUAAAGUUUCAGAUGCAAAGAAGUUGGAUAUGAGGAAGAAUGAGACUCUCAGGAGAAGUCUGGUAGUGAUGUUGUGCUUUGUUGGUGGCUAUAAUUGUAAGUGUAAUUGUGAAUGGGUUUGUUGUGGAGGUUGUGCUUUUGAGAUUUGUGGAGGAGGUAAUCCUCGAAUAAAGUGGUGUUGAAAUGGUUGUGUAGUUGGAGUUGGGAUAGUCUUGUGGAGCAGUUGAGAUGCAUUGUAUGUAUGAAUAACCAUAGGUUAUAGACCUGGCGCUGCUGUGACUAGGUGAAUUAGAAUUGUAGCAGGAUGUAGAAAGAUUGUGCUUGCAACUGCUAUUGCAGUUAGUCUUUAUUAACAACGAUCGAAUCAAAUGAUGAACUAGUGGAUUGAGGAUCUCGUGGUAGGCGUGGCUUGACAUCAAAUCAGUUUCAGUUACACAAAGAAAUGGUGCACGUGAAGAUAUCCG